rnacentral:rRNA from 1 species
GGCGGACGGGUGAGUAACACGUGGAUAACCUACCUAUAAGACUGGGAUAACCUUCGGGACAAACCCGGAGCUAAUACCGGAUAAUAUUUUGAACCUCGGCAUGGUUCAAAAGUGAAAGACGGUCUUGCUGUCACUUAUAGAUGGAUCCGCGCUGCAUUAGCUAGUUGGUAAGGUAACGGCUUACCAAGGCAACGAUGCAUAGCCGACCUGAGAGGGUGAUCGGCCACACUGGAACUGAGACACGGUCCAGACUCCUACGGGAGGCAGCAGUAGGGAAUCUUCCGCAAUGGGCGAAAGCCUGACGGAGCAACGCCGUCGUGAGUGAUGAAGGUCUUCGGAUCGUAAAACUCUGUUAUUAGGGAAGAACAUAUGUGUAAGUAACUGUGCACAUCUUGACGGUACCUAAUCAGAAAGCCACGGCUUUACUACGUGCCAGCAGCCGCGGUAAUACGUAGUGGCAAGCGUUAUCCGGAAUUAUUGGGCGUAAAGCGCGCGUAGGCGGUUUUUUAAGUCUGAUGUGAAAGCCCACGGCUCAACCGUGGAGGGUCAUUGGAAACUGGAAAACUUGAGUGCUAGAAGAGGUAAACUGGAAUUCCAUGUGUAUCGGUGAAAUGCGCAGAGAUAUGGAGGAACAUCCAUGUGGUCGAAGGCGACUUUCUGGUCUGUAACUGACGCUGAUGUGCGAAAGCGUGGGGGAUCAAACAGGAUUAG